AUGCCGGUCACAAGCAAGCGGCCACGGAUUUCACUUUGGACGUCUGAAAUUGUAGCAGAAUAUGAAAGGCGGGACUGCACAAGCAGCGAUAAAUUGCUUUACGGCAGGCUCCCGACAAAGCGUGUCUCGGAAACACCCUUCGGUCAAAUCAACAGACAGCCAAAAGUCACACUAGGUGCCUCGUAUGAUGAACUCCUGCAGUUCACCCUCUCAAUUGUUCCAGAGGAAAACCACCAGAUGGUUUUAGACGAGCUUCCAAAGAUUAUGCAUAGCAUGCAGAGCGAGCUUUUUGAUUCAAUGCAAAAUGUACUCGCCAAGAACUUUAUGAACCUGCUGAAACUGAUGUCGUCAAUGCAUUCUUCAUUGCCUAGCAAAAAACAGAAUAGCACAGACAAAGAUUCAAGUUGCGUGCCCAUUUCAGAGGCUCCGACGGUUCCUUGUGGUAGCCACUCCAGCUUGCAAAUGACAAGUACCACACUGGCUGAAAGAAAACAGGAUAAGCCUGAAGCAAAAACAGGGGCAGAAUGUGGCUCAGGGCAGGAAACAGAGCACGUUUUUACAGCUGAAGAAACAAAGCCAUUGUCUGAAGUACAAAGGAAGAACAACAAAGCCCCCGUACCCGCGCUCUUGAGUUUUGAGGAUACAAGUGAUGAAGUUUUGGCGGAAUGGGACAAACAAGCAUGUGCCAAUGCCAGGGUACCCAACGUUGAAAGCCUACUUCGAAUAAUUGACACAAUACCAAUUUCGACCGACCCAGACCUGCCGCGCUGCACGGAAGCAUUGGAGGGGAUGUACCCACAGAAGGUGCAGGUUGGAGAUACCGAGGCUAAACCUACCCACACUUUUAGCUUGCUUUCUUAUGUUCUUGACGAGAAAGCAUUUUGGCACCGACCGCUGAGUCCACGAGAGCCAGAUUUAUUAACCUGCAGGGAGCUCAAUCUGUUCGAAGAAUGGAAGGUCUCUACCAAGGUUGAUGGUAGUGAAGGUCCAACCAGCAGUGACCCUAUCAGGAUGACAGAGGACAUCACUAAUAGAAACAAAAGGACGACAUGCAUGUCCUUAAACGAGACGGCUGACAACUGCGUUGCUUUGAAAAAAAGGGCAAGGAUGUUUCAGAACACAGAUGAGCUGUCGAGCAACAUUCAUCAUGAGAUGCCACACACUUUAGGAACUGUAAGCGCAUCAUCACACGAGAAAGAUCAGUCAUCAAGCGACGCUAAUCUUGGUCAGAUCCAACAAACACCGGUCCAUGGCACCUCUUCAGCUACCAACAAAGACUUCCCAUGGGACGACCCUGAUAUGGUAGCGCAGUUGAUCGAGUCUACCGAUAGGAUUGAGGAAGAGUGGUUUUCACAACAAAGACAAACUCAGUAUACCACAUCAGUUACACAAGACAUCCACAUAUCAGAGAUCAAGCCCAAUGAGAUUUGUUGCAAUUUCACCUCAAAUCUAGUCGAAAGUGCUGUUUUCAGCGACAUUGUGUCACGAAUACCACCCCAUUCAAGGCAAAAGAGCCCAAGAAUAGUACAAAUGGGCUCGACAUGGGUUGAACAUAGGGUUUUUGGCCUGAGCAUGCAAGUGUAUGGCCGGGUCAAUAAGUACGUGAUCAAUAUGUUGGGAAAAGCAGUAAUGGCCGAGCAAACCGAAAAGGAUAGGCUCAAUCUUCUCCCGCGAAGUUACUGGUCAAGAUACUAUGUCAAAUGCGACACUGCUAAAUUAUUCCAAAAUGCAUUUGAAACUCCAUUGGCGUUAUCUGUUCACCUGAGGGAGACAAUGAUAGGAUUCCAUCUUGACCAAAUUCACAUGGUGUUUUUACCUUUAAGCUCAUACAGUUUCUGGUACACGGUUGUUGCUAACUUUAGGAAGAAAUUGUUCGAAGUCCUCUGCCCAAACAACAGAAUCGACUUGAUUGCUGACGAAGCUCAGCUUGUAAUCAAGAAUUUCAAAGCGGCUUUCAAGCUGGCAUACAAGAGAUCACAACUAAAUGUGACUGACAUGGGUGUGUCCUUCCGGAGUGUGUGCUCUUCAACUAAAGAGUAA
rnacentral:rRNA from 1 species